AUUGAACGCUGGCGGUAGGCCUAACACAUGCAAGUCGAACGCGAAAGUCCUUCGGGAUGAGUAGAGUGGCGGACGGGUGAGUAACGCGUAGGAAUCUAUCCUGUAGUGGGGAUAACGUUUCGAAAGGAACGCUAAUACCGCAUACGCCCCAAGGGGGAAAGCGGGGGAUCUUCGGACCUCGUGCUAUAGGAGGAGCCUGCGUCGGAUUAGCUAGUUGGUGAGGUAAAGGCUCACCAAGGCGACGAUCCGUAGCUGGUCUGAGAGGAUGAUCAGCCACACCGGAACUGAGAGACGGUCCGGACUCCUACGGGAGGCAGCAGUGGGGAAUAUUGCGCAAUGGGCGAAAGCCUGACGCAGCCAUACCGCGUGUGUGAAGAAGGCCUUCGGGUUGUAAAGCACUUUCAGUGGGGAGGAAAAGCUGAUGGCUAAUAUCCAUCGGCCGUGACGCUACCCACAGAAGAAGCACCGGCUAAUUCCGUGCCAGCAGCCGCGGUAACAC
rnacentral:rRNA from 1 species